rnacentral:tRNA from 1 species
GAGGGUGUAGCUCACCGGGAGAGCAUGUGCCUGGUGUGCACGAGGCCCUGGAUUCCAUCCCAGCCCCUCCA